UGUGUGUUGUCCUGAGCUGAGGUGGUGUUGUGUGUUGUCCUGAGCUGAGGUGGUGUUGUGUGUUGUCCUGAGCUGAGGUGGUGUUGUGUGUUGUCCUGAGCUGAGGUGGUGUUGUGUGUUGUCCUGAGCUGAGGUGGUGUUGUGUGUUGUCCUGAGCUGAGGUGGUGUUGUGUGUUGUCCUGAGCUGAGGUGGUGUUGUGUGUUGUCCUGAGCUGAGGUGGUGUUGUGUGUUGUCCUGAGCUGAGGUGGUGUUGUGUGUUGUCCUGAGCUGAGGUGGUGUUGUGUGUUGUCCUGAGCUGAGGUGGUGUUGUGUGUUGUCCUGAGCUGAGGUGGUGUUGUGUGUUGUCCUGAGCUGAGGUGGUGUUGUGUGUUGUCCUGAGCUGAGGUGGUGUUGUGUGUUGUCCUGAGCUGAGGUGGUGUUGUGUGUUGUCCUGAGCUGAGGUGGUGUUGUGUGUUGUCCUGAGCUGAGGUGGUGUUGUGUGUUGUCCUGAGCUGAGGUGGUGUUGUGUGUUGUCCUGAGCUGAGGUG